UGUGAUUCUUUAAUCUUUAGCUGAUUUUGAUGGUAGAAUCCAUGGGCUACAUUUUGCCAAACACUGACCAGGGGUGUCUCAGACAGUGUGUACCCAGGAAAUGUGGGCAAUGGGAUAGGUAGAGAUGUUCUUGGCCAGGAUGCAGGGGGUGGGUCCAGGAGAUACCACAAGUUUUUUCCCAUUGGACAUUUCGGAGACGGAAGGAGGUCAACCUAGGAGUCCAGGGCAUGAAAUAAUAGACUCUAGACAUUUAGAGUCUCAGAAAUAGAUGGUCUUGUUAAUAAUUAAAUAAAGAAAUCAUAAAAUAAUAGAAUACAUUGUAGUAGAACUUAGUGGUUAAAGAAUCAGUCUUGCAUAGAGCCUGCCUCUUUACUUAGUAGCUGGAUAACUGACGUCAAGUUACUUAACUUCUCUGAGCCUAUUUCCUCAUUCGUUAGUGGGGCAUACUGUUAGGUGUAAUAUAGUUACUUAACCUCUCUGAGCCUAUUUCCUCAUUCAUUAGUGGGGCAUACUGUUAGGUGUAAUAUAAUAUGUCUUUGGACUAUUGUGACAUAUGAGUCAGCACAUUUAAAAGAGCUGGUGCAAGAGACUAAAUGUGUGUGUCCUCCCAAAAUGUAUAUGUUGAAAUCUAAUCUGCAGUGUGAUGGUAUCUGGAGCUGAGGACUUUGGGAGAUAAUUAGGUCAUGAACUUGAAGCCUUCGUGAAUGGGAUUAGUGACCUUAUAAAAAAGACUUCAGAGGGUUCUCUUGCCCCUUCUAUGGCAUGAUGAUGCAGUAAGAUGCUGUCUAUGAACCGGGAAGCAGACCCUCACCAGAUGCUGAACGUGCUGGCACCGUGGACUUCUCAGCCUCCAGAAAUGCAGAUGACAAGACCCAAGGAGAUGGAGGAGCCACACAACUGAAAGAGAUGAGGUUCCUGAAUCACCACAUGGAGGGAAGCGGCCACUGAUUAGAAACAUCUGCCUGUUUCAUAAGGAUAAGUAAAGAGGGAAUGGAUGCCACAUGGUGCAGCUGCCUAAAAGCUAAGAAGGGGUCAUGGGGUAACAGGAAAUACCAAGGAAAAAUAAUAAUUGAUCCAGAGAAAAGGAAAGAAGAAUGGACUUGAAACCCUCCUGAGGCUCUAAUGAUGGUGAUUCUGCAAGGCUGAGAGCAGAGAUUUACAUAUUUGCUGUCAAGGUGAAGGUACCACAACGUGGAUGCCAUCUGGCAGGCACCUGGGUGGCUGACACGCAACAUCAAGUGCAGUAUCAUGAAAAUUAGCCAAGCUGGGCCCUGGUACUUCAUUGCUACCUGGUGUGACGGUGGACACCCAACAUCCACACCCUGGCUCCCAGUCUCCCCACCUUUAAAAUGGAUUUGAUCUCCAGAUUGCUACGUUUGUGUCCAUAUGUAAUGGACAAAAGUGGUGAUGGACUAACAAAUUACGGGAUGAGGAUCUGCAGGCUUUAUUUACUACUAAAAUGUUUAUUUCAUGUGUUGAUUAUCUGCAGCAUCGCCACCUUGCAGUUAGUCACUGGAGUCCUCUCAGAAUAGGAACCCACCACUGCUCCCGAGUAAGCCGGUGACCUGCAGCUAAAAAAUUAAUCCUUUCGUGUCUCAGUUUUCUGAUCUUUACAUCAGUGAUGAUAGCAGUGCCACCUUGUAGAGUUCUUGUGAAAAUUAAAUGAGUUAAUGAACUUAAAGUGCCUAAACAGUAGCUGGCAGAAAGUAAAUGCUCAAUAAAUGUUAGGUAUUUUGACCAUAAUCGUCAUUUUUUUCUCAUUGGCCUCUUUUUUCUCUUCUUAUGCCUUAGGAUUUGAGAGAUGUCCCUUAAACACCAACUGGUGUGUUCUGUGUAAAAGACACUCAACAGGCCGGGUGCAGUGGCUCACGCCUGUAAUCCCAGCGCUUUGAGAGGCCGAGGCAGGCAGAUCACUUGAGACCAGGAGUUCGAGAUCAGCCUGGCCAACAUGGCAAAACCUUGUCUCUACUAAAAAAUACAAAGAUUAGUCGGGUGUGGUGGCUUAUGCCUGUAGUUCCAGCUACUUGGGAGGCUGAGGCAUGAGAAUCGCUUGAACCUGGGAGGCGGAGGUUGUGGUGAGCCAAGACUGUGCCACUGCAUUCCAGCCUGGGUGACAGAGUGAGAAUUUGUCUCAAAAAAAAAAUAAAAUAAAAUAAAAUAAAUAAAUAAAUAAAUAAAUAAAGGCACUCAACAGGGUAGACAUAGGAAGUAAUCCUGGUCUGGCUUGGCCUGGCUUAGCCUCUGGAGGCGGCUGUUUUUCCACCUGGUAAAUUGAUGAUUUUCAUUGCGUAUUUUCUCUGAGUGUUUGUUAACUCCAGGGCAGUCUUUUGGAGUUAGUUUGUCAUUGACUUGAACCCACCAGAGAAGAGUUGACCUCUCAUUCUGCAUCUGGCAUUCAGGGUACGGCGCCAGGACUCAAUCAACAAAGAGUGGAAAUAGCCAUUGGCCGUUGAGGACCCGCCAGGCCUUGGCAUGCCAGAGGGAAUGUCUUUUUUGGUUAUGCCCGCUUUGUUUUUUUUCUUCUUCCAAGAGCUACAAAAAAAAUGUUUUUCAAAUGAACACAGGCAAGGAUAUGUCACCCAGUGAUGGAUAGCUCACUCCGGCUCAGCUUUUGAUAAUUAAGUUCUACUCUUCACAGACGAAGGCCAUUCUGCCAAAUCUAAAAUACCCCAGAAAAUG
rnacentral:lncRNA from 1 species